rnacentral:hammerhead_ribozyme from 1 species
AUCCAGCUGACGAGUCUCAAAUAGGACGAAACGCGCGUCCCGGAU